UGGGGAAUAUUGCACAAUGGGGGAAACCCUGAUGCAGCGACGCCGCGUGAAGGAAGAAGUAUUUCGGUAUGUAAACUUCUAUCAGCAGGGAAGAAAAUGACGGUACCUGACUAAGAAGCCCCGGCUAACUACGUGCCAGCAGCCGCGGUAAUACGUAGGGGGCAAGCGUUAUCCGGAUUUACUGGGUGUAAAGGGAGUGUAGACGGAAGUGCAAGUCUGAAGUGAAAGCCCGGGGCUCAACCCCGUGACUGCUUUGGAAACUGUGCUUCUAGAGUGUCGGAGAGGUAAGCGGAAUUCCUAGUGUAGCGGUGAAAUGCGUAGAUAUUAGGAGGAACAUCAGUGGCGAAGGCGGCUUACUGGACGAUAACUGACGUUGAGGCUCGAAAGCGUGGGGAGCAAACA
rnacentral:rRNA from 1 species